ACAAGCGGUGGAGUAUGUGGUUAAUUCGAUGCAACGCGAAGAACCUUACCUGGUCUUGACAUCCCGGAGACCCUUAGGAACUAGGGGUGCUUCCAUCUGGAAGAAUCUGGAGACAGGUGCUGCAUGGCUGUCGUCAGCUCGUGUCGUGAGAUGUUGGGUUAAGUCCCGCAACGAGCGCAACCCUUGCCUUUAGUUGCCAGCAGUUCGGCUGGGCACUCUAAAGGGACUGCCGGUGUUAAACCGGAGGAAGGUGGGGAUGACGUCAAGUCCUCAUGGCCUUUAUGACCAGGGCUACACACGUACUACAAUGGCCGAUACAAAGGGCAGCGACACUGCGAGGUGAAGCCAAUCCCGUAAAAUCGGUCUCAGUCCGGAUUGGAGUCUGCAACUCGACUCCAUGAAGUUGGAAUCGCUAGUAAUCGUGGAUCAGCAUGCCACGGUGAAUACGUUCCCGGGCCUU
rnacentral:rRNA from 1 species